AUACCUCAUCUUUGUUGUCUUCUUGUGCCAUAAGGCAAAGAUUUGCUGCUUCGUCUUCUUCCACUUCGCUUGACUCAUCUCCGGAGUCGCCUCCCCAAGAAAUGUAUGCACGUUGCUUUUUAAUAGGUUUCUUCUCCUUUUUUAUGUUUGGGCAAUUUGAUUUGAUGUGCCCGGUUUCACCAGAUUCAUAGCACUUGAUUUGUUCGCCUUGAUUUUUGCCCUUGCGUUCAUACUCCUUGCGCAUGAGCUUUUGAAAUCUUUUGAUAACGAGUCCA
rnacentral:lncRNA from 1 species